rnacentral:misc_RNA from 1 species
GAUGAAGAACGUAGCGAAAUGCGAUAAGUAAUGUGAAUUGCAGAAUUCAGUGAAUCAUCGAAUCUUUGAACGCACAUUGCGCCCCCUGGUAUUCCGGGGGGCAUGCCUGUUCGAGCGUCAUUUCACCACUCAAGCCUCGCUUGGUAUUGGGCAACGCGGUCCGCCGCAUGCCUCAAAUCGACCGGCUGGGUCUUCUGUCCCCUAAGCGUUGUGGAAACUAUUCGCUAAAGGGUGUUCGGGAGGCUACGCCGUAAAACAACCCCAUUUCUAAGGUUGACCUCGGAUCAGGUAGGGAUACCCGCUGAACUUAAGCAUAUCAAUAAGCGGAGGA